rnacentral:rRNA from 1 species
CACGUAGGGUGCGAGCGUUGUCCGGAAUUAUUGGGCGUAAGAGCUCGUAGGCGGUGUGUCGCGUCGGCCGUGAAAACCUGCAGCUUAACUGUGGGCUUGCGGUCGAUACGGGCAUCACUGGAGUUCGGCAGGGGAGACUGGAAUUCCUGGUGUAGCGGUGAAAUGCGCAGAUAUCAGGAGGAACACCGGUGGCGAAGGCGGCUUUCUGGGCCCUACCUGACGCUGACGACGCGAAAGC